UACGGAGGGGGCUAGCGUUAUUCGGAAUUAUUGGGCGUAAAGGGCGUGUAGGCGGCUCUGUGUGUCCCAUGUGAAAGCCCUCGGCUCAACCGGGGAACUGCAUGGGAAACUGCGGAGCUUGAGUCCGGGAGAGGUGAGUGGAAUUCCCAGUGUAGCGGUGAAAUGCGUAGAUAUUGGGAGGAACACCAGUGGCGAAGGCGGCUCACUGGACCGGUACUGACGCUGAGGCGCGAAAGCCAGGGGAGCAAACGGG
rnacentral:rRNA from 1 species